rnacentral:rRNA from 1 species
GGGUUGUGAGGUUAAGCGACUAAGCGUACACGGUGGAUGCCCUGGCAGUCAGAGGCGAUGAAGGACGUGCUAAUCUGCGAUAAGCGUCGGUGAGGUGAUAUGAACCGUUAUAACCGGCGAUUUCCGAAUGGGGAAACCCAGUGUGUUUCGACACACUAUCAUUAACUGAAUCCAUAGGUUAAUGAGGCGAACCGGGGGAACUGAAACAUCUAAGUACCCCGAGGAAAAGAAAUCAACCGAGAUUCCCCCAGUAGCGGCGAGCGAACGGGGAGCAGCCCAGAGCCUGAAUCAGUGUGUGUGUUAGUGGAAGCGUCUGGAAAGGCGCGCGAUACAGGGUGACAGCCCCGUACACAAAAAUGCACAU